AUCACCUUUUUUCCUUUGGCCGUUGCCCGCCAUACUGUGAGUGAGAGACGCCGAAGAGGAGAAACGCGGAAAGAAACGGGUGAAAAAACGGAAUAAAACCAACAUUUGAGAGGUCGCUUCGUGUUUACGGUUUGUCAACACUGAGAUAAAAUUAAUUACUGAAGAAAUUUGGACGCCGAAAAGGUUUUGGAGCUGUUUUUUGGCGGCGGCUGGACGUUAAUCAGAACACCUGCGGUUAAACGGUUUUCUUCUCGUUCCGCUGCCUCGGACCAGUUCCCGGAUCUUACAGGUGAACAGAUCUCCUGAUGGAUCAAAAGACGUAAACCAACGGUGGUUUCAGGCACAGAAGGAAGUGAAGAAAAAGAUUUCACAUCAUUCAUCCAGAGCUUCCUGAUCUCCAUCCACACUUCAGCACCAUCGAAGAAGUGGAGGGGAUACAAAUGAUCUCUUGUCUAAAUUUACAAGACGUCCACUGAUGGUACAGAUGGUGGCAAAGGAUGGACAACCAAAGGGGAAGGAGGUGAGGAUGACAUUGUCAGCAGGAAGAUCUCCAAACACAACUGCAACACCAAGCUGCUGCACCUGCAAACUGUAGAUAAGGUCAUAAAACAUACAAUCAUGACAAAUGUCAUGUGUGCAUCAAACCCUGAUGUAUCUUAUUCCUCUCUGUUGUGCACUUAAUCAAUUAAUUUUAAGCAGUCUGUUUAUUUCACAAAAUAAUAAUUUGAACUGAUUUGAUUGCUAUAUCUAUAAAUUGUGUACAUGAAUUUAUAGAUAAAGAAUAUUUUUAAUCUAUUUUACUUACUGCAUUUUGUUGUACACUUUUCUAUGUUUUGUAAUGAACUGCAGUUUGUAUAAAUAAAGUUUAUUGGUAAGUUAUUAAGGCUUAACU